GAUCGUGCAGAUGAGUAACUACUGUGGC
rnacentral:piRNA from 1 species